AUUGAACGCUGGCGGCAGGCCUAACACAUGCAAGUCGAGCGGAUGACGGGAGCUUGCUCCUUGAUUCAGCGGCGGACGGGUGAGUAAUGCCUAGGAAUCUGCCUGGUAGUGGGGGACCACGUUUCGAAAGGAACGCUAAUACCGCCUACGUCCUACGGGAGAAAGCAGGGGACCUUCGGGCCUUGCGCUAUCAGAUGAGCCUAGGUCGGAUUAGCUGGUAGGUGAGGUAAUGGCUCACCUAGGCGACGAUCCGUAACUGGUCUGAGAGGAUGAUCAGUCACACUGGAACUGAGACACGGUCCAGACUCCUACGGGAGGCAGCAGUGGGGAAUAUUGGACAAUGGGCGAAAGCCUGAUCCAGCCAUGCCGCGUGUGUGAAGAAGGUCUUCGGAUUGUAAAGCACUUUAAGUUGGGAGGAAGGGCAGUAAGCUAAUACCUUGCUGUUUUGACGUUACCGACAGAAUAAGCACCGGCUAACUCUGUGCCAGCCGCCGCCGUAACAC
rnacentral:rRNA from 1 species